rnacentral:rRNA from 1 species
UACGAAGGGGGCUAGCGUUGUCCGGAAUUACUGGGCGUAAAGGGCGUGCAGGCGGUCUGUUAAGUGCAGGGUGAAAGCUCCCGGCUCAACUGGGAGAGGUCCUUGCAUACUGGCGGACUUGAGGGGGGUAGAGGAAAGUGGAAUUCCCGGUGUAGUGGUGAUAUGCGUAGAUAUCGGGAGGAACACCUGUGGCGAAGGCGGCUUUCUGGGCCCUACCUGACGCUGAGACGCGAAAGCGUGGGGAGCGAACCGG